rnacentral:rRNA from 1 species
UACGUAGGGUGCGAGCGUUAAUCGGAAUUACUGGGCGUAAAGCGCACGUAGGCGGAUACUUAAGUCAGGUGUGAAAUCCCGGGGCUCAACCCCGGAACUGCCUUUGAUACUGGGUAUCUCGAGUCCGGAAGAGGUGAGUGGAAUUCCGAGUGUAGAGGUGAAAUUCGUAGAUAUUCGGAGGAACACCAGUGGCGAAGGCGGCGAUCUGGGCCUUGACUGACGCUGAGGCGCGAAAGCGUGGGGAGCAAACAGG